CCAAUAGCGUAUAUUAAAGUUGCUGCAGUUAAAAAGCUCGUAGUUGAAUUUCGGGACUAAUAUGUUGGUCGUGCCUCGGUACGUACUGAUAUUUUUGGUUUCUCCCUUCUGACGAACCUUGAUGUCAUUAAUUUGGUGGCUUGGGAAAUCAGGACUGUUACUUUGAAAAAAUUAGAGUGUUUAAAGCAGGCUCACGCUUGAAUACAUUAGCAUGGAAUAAUGAAAUAGGACGUUUGAUUCUAUUUUGUUGGUUUCUAGGAUCGACGUAAUGAUUAAUAGGGAUAGUUGGGGGCAUUAGUAUUCAAUUGUCAGAGGUGAAAUUCUUGGAUUUAUUGAAGACUAACUACUGCGAAAGCAUUUGCCAAGGAUGUUUUCAUUAAUCAAGAACGAAAGUUAGGGGAUCGAAGACGAUCAGAUACCGUCGUAGUCUUAACCAUAAACUAUGCCGACUAGGGAUCGGAUGAUGUUAAUUUUUUAAUGACUCAUUCGGCGCCUUACG
rnacentral:rRNA from 1 species